rnacentral:rRNA from 1 species
AGCGAACGCUGGCGGCAGGCCUAAUACAUGCAAGUCGAACGGCUCUUCGGAGCAGUGGCGGACGGGUGAGUAACGCGUGGGAAUGUGCCCUUUGGUACGGAACAACACAGGGAAACUUGUGCUAAUACCGUAUGUGCCCUUCGGGGGAAAGAUUUAUCGCCAUUGGAGCAGCCCGCGUUGGAUUAGGUAGUUGGUGAGGUAAAGGCUCACCAAGGCUACGAUCAGUAGCUGGUCUGAGAGGAUGACCAGCCACAUUGGGACUGAGACACGGCCCAAACUCCUACGGGGGGCAGCAGUGGGGAAUAUUGGACAAUGGGCGCAAGCCUGAUCCAGCCAUGCCGCGUGGGUGAUGAAGGCCCUAGGGUUGUAAAGCCCUUUCGGCGGGGAAGAUAAUGACGGUACCCGCAGAAGAAGCCCCGGCUAACUUCGUGCCAGCCGCCGCGGUAACAC